rnacentral:rRNA from 1 species
ACGGGUGAGGAAUACAUCGGAAUCUACCUUUUCGUGGGGGGUAACGUAGGGAAACUUACGCUAAUACCGCAUACGACCUACGGGUGAAAGUGGGGGACCGCAAGGCCUCACGCGAUUAGAUGAGCCGAUGUCCGAUUAGCUAGUUGGCGGGGUAAUGGCCCACCAAGGCGACGAUCGGUAGCUGGUCUGAGAGGAUGAUCAGCCACACUGGAACUGAGACACGGUCCAGACUCCUACGGGAGGCAGCAGUGGGGAAUAUUGGACAAUGGGCGCAAGCCUGAUCCAGCCAUACCGCGUGGGUGAAGAAGGCCUUCGGGUUGUAAAGCCCUUUUGUUGGGAAAGAAAUCCUAUCGGUUAAUAACCGGUGGGGAUGACGGUACCCAAAGAAUAAGCACCGGCUAACUUCGUGCCAGCAGCCGCGGUAAUACGAAGGGUGCAAGCGUUACUCGGAAUUACUGGGCGUAAAGCGUGCGUAGGUGGUGGUUUAAGUCUGCUGUGAAAGCCCUGGGCUCAACCUGGGAAUUGCAGUGGAUACUGGAUCACUAGAGUGUGGUAGAGGGAUGCGGAAUUUCUGGU